rnacentral:rRNA from 1 species
GUGCCAGCAGCCGCGGUAAGACAGAGGUGGCGAGCGUUGUUCGGAAUUACUGGGCUUAAAGGGCGCGUAGGCGGUGGGACAAGUCUGAGGUGGAAUCCGGAGGCUUAACCUCCGAACUGCCUUGGAAACUGUACUGCUUGAGUUAGACAGGGGAAGGCGGAAUUCCUGGUGUAGCGGUGAAAUGCGUAGAUAUCAGGAGGAAGGCCUGUGGCGAAGGCGGCCUUCUGGGUCUUAACUGACGCUGAGGCGCGAAAGCGUGGGGAGCAAACAGGAUUAGAUACCCUGGUAGUCCACGCCCUAAACGGUGGGCACUAGGUGUGGGAUUCGUAAGGGUUCCGUGCCGAAGGGAAACCAUUAAGUGCCCCGCCUGGGGAGUACGGCCGCAAGGUUGAA